GGCAUAGUGGGUAAAACCCCCGUAGACGAAACAUGACUGGCUCUGGAGGAGUAUCCCAAGUAGCACGGGGCCCGAGAAAUCCCGUGUGAAUCUGGCGGGACCACCCGCUAAGCCUGAAUACUCCCUGGUGACCGAUAGCGGACUAGUACCGUGAGGGAAAGGUGAAAAGUACCCCGGGAGGGGAGUGAAAGAGUACCUGAAACCGUGUGCCUACAAGCCGUGGGAGCUACGCCGUGCAGAAUUUAUUCUGUCACGGUUGUGACCGCGUGCCUUUUGAAGAAUGAGCCUGCGAGUUAGCGUUGUGUGGCGAGGUUAACCCGGGUGGGGUAGCCGUAGCGAAAGCGAGUCCGAAUAGGGCGUUUGAGUCGCACGACCUAGACCCGAAGCGUGGUGAUCUAGCCAUGGGCAGGGUGAAGCGCGGGUAAGACCGCGUGGAGGCCCGAACCCACCAGGGUUGAAAACCUGGGGGAUGACCUGUGGUUAGGGGUGAAAGGCCAAUCAAACCACGUGAUAGCUGGUUCUCCCCGAAAUGCAUUUAGGUGCAGCGUCGUGUGUUUCUUCCCGGAGGUAGAGCACUGGAUGGUCUAGGGGGCCUACAAGCUUACCGAAAUCAGCCAAACUCCGAAUGCCGGUGAAGUGAUAGCGCGGCAGUGAGACGGCGGGGGAUAAGCUUCGUCGUCGAGAGGGAAACAGCCCAGAACACCGGCUAAGGCCCCUAAGCGUGUGCUAAGUGGGAAAGGAUGUGGAGUCGCAUAGACAACCAGGAGGUUGGCUUAGAAGCAGCCACCCUUGAAAGAGUGCGUAAUAGCUCACUGGUCAAGUGAUUCCGCGCCGACAAUGUAGCGGGGCUCAAGUACACCGCCGAAGCCGUGUCAUUCAUGCUUAAGCCCGUCGUGUAGAAAGCGGCCAGGCGCAUGGAUGGGUAGGGGAGCGUCGUGCAGCCAGUGAAGUCCCGGGGUGACCCAGGGGUGGAGGCUGCACGAGUGAGAAUGCAGGCAUGAGUAGCGAAUGCGACGUGAGAAACGUCGCCGCCGGAUGACCAAGGGUUCCUGGGCCAGGCUAAUCCGCCCAGGGUGAGUCGGGACCUAAGGCGAGGCCGACAGGCGUAGUCGAUGGACAACGGGUUGAUAUUCCCGUACCCGCGAAGGUCCGCCCAAUGUUGAAUCAGGUGAUGCUAAACCCGUUAAGCCCCCGGGUUCCUUCGGGAACCUGGUGUGGUGGAGCCGGUGACCCGAACUUGUAGUAGGCAAGCGAUGGUGUGACGCAGGAAGGUAGCCCAACCCGGGCGGUGGUUGUCCCGGGGUAAGGAUGUAGGGCGGUGUGUAGGCAAAUCCGCACACCUUGAAGCCUGAGAUCUGAUGCCGAGCCCGUAGGGGUGAAGUGGGUGAUCCUAUGCUGUCGAGAAAAGCAUCUAGCGAGGACUGAGCGGCCCGUACCCCAAACCGACACAGGUGGUCAGGUAGAGAAUACCGAGGCGAUCGGGUGAACCGUGGUUAAGGAACUCGGCAAAAUACCUCCGUAACUUCGGGAGAAGGAGGGCUCCGUCUGGUGAUAGGCCUUGCGUCUUGAGCUGGGUGGAGUCGCAGAGACCAGCGAGAAGCGACUGUUUACUAAAAACACAGGUCCGUGCGAAGUCGCAAGACGAUGUAUACGGACUGACGCCUGCCCGGUGCUGGAACGUUAAGGGGACCGGUUAGACCGUAAGGUCGAAGCUGAGAACUUAAGCGCCAGUAAACGGCGGUGGUAACUAUAACCAUCCUAAGGUAGCGAAAUUCCUUGUCGGGUAAGUUCCGACCUGCACGAAUGGCGUAACGACUUCUCGACUGUCUCAACCACGGGCCCGGCGAAAUUGCACUACGAGUAAAGAUGCUCGUUUCGCGCAGCAGGACGGAAAGACCCCAGGACCUUCACUAUAGCUUGAUAUUGGUGUUCGACUCGGUUUGUGUAGGAUAGGUGGGAGGCUGUGAAGUCCGGACGCUAGUUCGGGUGGAGCCGGCGUUGAAAUACCACUCUGAUCGUGUUGGAUGUCUAACCUCGGUCCGUGAUCCGGAUCAGGGACAGUGUCUGGUGGGUAGUUUAACUGGGGCGGUUGCCUCCUAAAGAGUAACGGAGGCGCCCAAAGGUUCCCUCAGCCUGGUUGGCAAUCAGGUGGCGAGUGCAAGUGCACAAGGGGGCUUGACUGUGAGACCGACAGGUCGAGCAGGUGCGAAAGCAGGGACUAGUGAUCCGGCCAUGGCUUGUGGAAGCGUGGUCGCUCAACGGAUAAAAGGUACCCUGGGGAUAACAGGCUGAUCUUCCCCAAGAGUCCAUAUCGACGGGAUGGUUUGGCACCUCGAUGUCGGCUCGUCGCAUCCUGGGGCUGGAGUAGGUCCCAAGGGUUGGGCUGUUCGCCCAUUAAAGCGGUACGCGAGCUGGGUUUAGAACGUCGUGAGACAGUUCGGUCCCUAUCCGCUGCGCGCGCAGGAGACUUGAGAAGGGCUGUCCCUAGUACGAGAGGACCGGGAUGGACGGACCUCUGGUGUGCCAGUUGUCCCGCCAGGGGCAUGGCUGGUUGGCUACGUUCGGGAAGGAUAACCGCUGAAAGCAUCUAAGCGGGAAACCUGCUUCAAGAUGAGGUCUCCCACCCACUUGAUGGGUUAAGGCUCCCGGUAGACCACCGGGUUGAUAGGCCGGGCGUGGAAGCUCCGUGAGGGGUGUAGCGGACCGGUACUAAUAGGCCGAGGGCUUGACCAC
rnacentral:rRNA from 1 species